UGUAGAUAAUUGCUAGAGCUGAAAAAUUGCUAGUGCUCUGCUGCUGUGUGUUUCAACAAAGCAGAUAAUCAGAACAACCGAGUGUGGGAACCCUGAUUACCUCAGAUUUUUAAAAUGACAUCAUUGAUGGAGGACUCCAUAUCCAUGUCUGCCACAAAUAUGGUACAUGCCUCUCCUAGAGGCAGCCCCACCAAUAUUAGAAGGCUCCAUAGAAAUCCUUUCCUGUGACCUAUCCUCUUCUAAAAAGGUGGAGGAUAUUGUCCCAGUUCCACAUAAAAGGCGGAAUAUGCAAAGAAGCCUGCUUUCUUCCACCAGUUCCAUAUCUGAGAAUCAUUUAUUUCAUACUCCUUCCCCUCAUACUUGUUUGAGUAAGUGAAAAAUUAAAGGGACUAGAUGCAAUAAGGGUAAGAGGGUAUUGAGCACCAGAAGCCCCUUUCAGAGAAAAAGGACAAAUCUCAUUGGGGGCUAGAUAGUCCUUCUCCUUCAUCUUCUAGACCAUUUGCUCAUUCAUCUUUUCAAACCUGGUCCAGUUCUAGAAAAUUUUAUCAAAUCACGGUUGGGGUGCGUUUAUAGCCCAGAACACGAUAAGAGGAAUUUGAUAGACCUAUAUCUUUGGCUGGUCUUGACAUUUCUUUUUUUUAAUGGUCACACUAUCAGGGUGUGUCUCCGCUACUAAAGCAGCAGUAAAGGGUCUUCUCCUCCCUAUUAUGUUGAAAGCUGCAAAAUGGUCGUCCAGUAAAACCUUGUAGACCAUCAGAAGUUUGACACCUUAAAUUUCUUUGGACCACCACCAGUUGUGUGCUCUACUACCCACUAUCUUUGCUAGGUGAUUAUUACUCCCAGUGGUCAAAGCAGAGUUUGCAGCAAUCUAUGGAAUCUAUGAUUUGCAAACUUAUUUUGCCUUAGUGAUCAGCAUAACCACUGAGCAAUAGCGUCUGUCCCACACUCCCUUAGUAUUAGGGUUUUGCCUGUUAGUGGUAGUUUUGCUUUCUCAAGAUGUUAAGUUUAUCUUGUGGUUUUUUCGGUCCAUUCCUUAUCUAUUUCUAUUUUUUUUACAGAUUACAACCACACUCCUAGACAGGAUUAAACACCCACCUCAGUAAGAAGAUUGUAUGCUAGUCGUGUAUAUAAAUUGGAAGUUAUAUGUGUGCCAUGCAUUCAAGAACCAGCUGUCAGAGACGUGUUACAUUUUGCUUCCUUAAUUUUACAAAAUAUUCUUCUGUUGCAAUUUAUUGUGUAGCAGUUUUAGUGUAGUUUUGACACUGAUACAUUGUUUCCUUGUUAUCUGUUUAACUUUGUGUAGUUUUAAUAAGUCAUGUUCCUU